AUGGAGUCGCCACGAAAGUUGCGCCCGCUCAUCAUCAUGGCGAUGCUACUGCUGCUCGUGAUGGCUGCGGAGGGCCAUAAACGUUGUCCAGAGGACUUGUGUGAAGGACCAAGUGGCAAGUUCAAAGGUGCAUGUUCGCAGGACGACGAAUGCCAAGAAACAUGUGGAGACGAGGGUUUUCAUACUGGCUUUUGUAAAGUUGGGCCUUUUAAUGGUGCAUGUAAAUGUUUCUUGUUUCUUCACUACAACACGUCCGGUUUGCUAUUGCUUUGGCCGUGGUAG
rnacentral:rRNA from 1 species